rnacentral:lncRNA from 1 species
UUCCUUGCCAUGGGGAAAUGUUUGCUCUUCCCUAUCAUCUGACAACUCUUGACUGUUUUCAUGAUCUUUGUUUGUUCAGGAAAGAUCUGUGUCAACAAAGUACCAACAUCAUUUUGACUGCAAGCAGCACAUAAUUGGGAAGGUGUUUCCAAUGGAGGAGAGGGAGCAAUUUUUAUUUUUUGUUAUAUUUUAUAUUUUUAUUUUUUGCUGAAUAUUGGACAGGUUUCUACAGAUACCUUGCAAUGAGCUUGCUACAGUUCUCUUUUAGGCCUUAUGCAAAACUUUACUGCUCCAUUUAGCAGGCAAAACUGCUGCUACAUUGGAAGACUGAUUGCCUCUUGGUGCCACUCUGACAGUCAUUAGGCCUACAUCAAAUAUUCAGCCUAGUUUUUUGGGUGGAGCAAUUCUGGAAGAUUCAUCCCAGCUGUCUCUCACAUCAGGUGGCAAAAGAAACUUUAAAAGAGUGGCUGGGAAGCUAGAUAUCUUCCCUGCUGUGCUGUGUAUGGUUGCUGCCUCCUUGCUAAGGGAGAAGAUGUUGCACCAUGGAGCUGCAGAAUGGAUUGGUAUUGAAAUUGACUGAGAAAUAAACUUAAAGAAUGCACAGCUCAUGGUGAGAGACGCCAUCACAUAUGUUCAGAGGCCGAUGAACUGCAAA